AGGAACCUGCAGCCUGAUGUUCUCUGCGUUCUGGUGCUUGGAAAGAGGAAGACAAAAGGGAAAAGAAGAUGAGAACUAUAAACACUGGGAUUUUACUAGUUGCCUCCAACCAGCAGGAAGGUUGCAACUUGCAUUAAAGACCUGCUUACUCGAGCUUGUUGCAAUGCGCUUCCCAACUGGGUUGCCCAGGCUGGCAGCAGCAGUGGGCAUGGAGCUCCCGGCCCUCCCCACCGAUCAAACUGCUGAGGGUCAGCCUUGCUCCCUGUGACAUGCUGGGACUAAGCAGGAGAAAGCAAAGAACUGAAGAAGUCCUGCAGGUGCUGAAGAGAAGAGCAGCUUUUGCCUGUAGCAGGCAGCAGCAGAGGGCUGCUGCUAUGUGCUGAGACACCCCCGAAUCCUGCUUUGUUAAGCAUCUCAGUGAAACUCCUUCU